UUCUGUUGGGUUGAAAGAUUUUCGAAUUAUCUCAUCGUCCUCGUUUUUUUAAACACGGUUAAUUGUUAGUACUGUCAGACAUACUAGACUUAGAGUAAAAUAAUCUUUGUAAUUUUAAAUGAAGUGGUAUUUUAAAAUGUAUUUUGGAUAACCGUCAGCCAGGCAUCUUCGGAUAACCUAAAAACUUGUCACGCUGUAAUGCAUGAGUCUUAUUCCCUUAAAAGAGUAUUUUGAACGUUAAAAUAUUUUAUCUCAGUGACAAAAAAUGCAGUGUACUGUCUGUGGCGGUUUGGAUUUCUAUAACGAGGAUGGCUAUUUCUUUUGUCAGGAAUGUCAAACUCAGAAUCAGGAAGUACGGGAGGAAGUUUUGGAAGUACGAGUAGAUGCAUCGACCCGGUUGAGAAAAACAAAGAUUCGUAGAGAAAAGUCUGGCAAUUCUGAUGGACAAGAAUUGGGAUGGACUUCGUGGGAGUAUUAUAACUUUAUUUUGAUUGGCUUGGCGAACGAGCUCGUUGAACUUGGAGUAACGUCUCAUGUGAAACUGACGAUUCUGCAAUUGUGGGCGGCAUAUUUGGGAAAAAUGGAAGUUGCGUUUACUUCGACCAAAAAGAAGUUCAUACCAAAAUUAUCCAGGAGGUUUCACAAAAGAGAUGCGGGUAUCAUUUAUGGGAAAGUACAGCAGCAAAAGAAAAAACGUAAGCGUAAAAGGGAGAACAGUAUCAGUAAUGCUUCUUCUGUAGUUUCUGGGCAAUUUAGCGAAACCAGUUCUACCAGAGAAAUUAACAGGAAUAAAAGACUGAUGGUGACUGCGGAAUAUGAGAGAUUUAUGUCGUCUCAAGGUAGUUCCGAAGGAGGUGCAAGUAGUGUAUUGAAUCAGAGUAUCAACAGUUUACAGUCUAGUCAAAGUAAACCUCACAUCCAUUCAGAAUAUGCUGAAAAAAUACGGUUUAAUGCAAACGCUAAGGAGGAAGCCAGGAAAAUAAAAAAUGUAUCAGUGAAAGUGCCAAAAAGUAAAAGGUUUCUGUAUCAGCGGAAACAUGUAACGACUCAGUACAAGAUCAGCCCUCAGGUGAUUACGCCCAUGAAGCUAUGGGCAAUUAUUUAUUUAGCACUAAGAAUCCACAAAGAGAACGUCCACUUAGCCGAUAUGUUACGGUACGGAAGAGAAGGACAUUUGUCAUAUUACAAACUGGAUCACUUGCUUCCCCCUGAGAUCUCUAUAGCAAAAGGUGAUAUGACUAUUUUAAGUCAGGUAAAUGACAUAACCCAUAAAGGUAUGAGACAGUUGAGUGCGAGCAUGGCAAAGUUCCUCAAUAUUUACGAGUUAUUUUGCCCAGACUUCUUGCCUCUGAUUACGCAGUACUGCCAAGAACUGCGACUACCAAGAGGCGUAUUAUUAUAUGCGGAGAGAUUAAUUGCAUUGUCACCACCAGUUAUGUCAUUCAACGUUCAAAAACCUUACAUCCCCAAUUACGAAGGCAGAGCUAUGGCUUUUAUAAUUGUCAUUCUGAAAGUUCUCUUUGCUCUGGAUGGAAUUACCGAGUACCAGAUCAGCAGACUUGCAGAAAAGAUAAACAGUCGAGCAAGGAGCAGAGGACUCUCCGAUCCCCAGCUCUUCAGCUUCAGGGAGUGGCAGAGAUACAUUGAGUGUCGACGUAGCAUCCUGGUGAAUUCACAAUUCUCGAUGAAGCUGAAGUACGAGCCAGACCUACCUGGGACCAGCCACCUGUACCUUCAAUUUCUAAAAUCGAUUCACUCCAAAAGAUCGGGCAACGAGCCGCCGGUCACCGAUUACAAGCACUUCCUGUCCCAGGAGUUGAAAAUAGCGAUGAAGAACUGCGUUGGGAAAUUGAACGCGACCUUCGCCUCGCAGCCGAACGUCAACGUUUUCGCUCCUUCUUUGACACCACAGUAUGCUUACCUGGAGCAAUUAUUAAGUCAACCCUUUCAAGACUUUCCAGCAAUUUUGCAAACCGACUUCUACAAGAUGAAGGUCGGCUACAUAACGAAGCCAGAUUUGUUGAAGGAGUUAGCCACACAGUGUGGGAUAAACCUCAAAGUCGUGUACUCGGGGAUGAACUUCCUGGAGAAGGUAGUUCCAGAGUUCGAGCCGACGAAGAUGCCGAGUGUGAAGGAACUAAAUGAACAUGUCGUAGUGGAGGAACUGGAAGUCACAAAAAAUGAAUUCGACUCAAAGAGCGAGGACCUGAACGAGUACCUGCACAGAGACCACCUGGGCAGAAUUAAGAUAGAUCCUGACAAAAAAGACGCCUACGACAGGGUGAGGUCCAUCAGAAACGAAAACGACUCCACAGCCGAAUGUUCAGAGGAUUUUUUAUUUGACGAGGUUUCUCGUGAUGGGAAAUUGCUGAUCCCCGCAGAGGGUGAAGAAGAGCUCGAAGAACGAGGAGAAGAGAACGGGUGCGAGGUUCGGCCCAACCAGGAAGGGGAAGACAUUUUGAGCGAGGAAUCUCGGAAGAGGUACAACCUGGAGCUCUCUAGUUACGAAGAAAUGGCAAUCUUGCAACCUGAGACUGUUAUCGGGUCUCGUAGGUCCACGUCGAAGAUCAAACUCUACCGCAAUGCGAAAGGACGGUUCGUCAGGGCGUCGAAAUUUAAGGAAGUGGGGAAAGGACUUGAAGAAGAGGGAAGUUGUAGAGAAAAUGGUGACGCCAGAAAGUCGAGGAAAAUGGUCCAGAAGAGGCUGGAGAAUGGAAAUUGUCGGGAACGUAAAAAUCGCGGAGGAACGACGCAAAUUCAGAGGGAAAACGGGGUUACAGUCGACCCUGAAGAAGCGGAAAUUUUGAGCGAUGCCGUAACGCCUUCCUGCGACGACGUUGAUGUCAUCUCUCGGGAUUCCGAUGGCUGUUUGGAUUCGGAAAUUAACGAGGCGUCGAUAAUUCGGGAAAUCGACGAGAGCUGCGAAAUGGACGAGCCCGAGGUUUUCUUCCGACCUUCUGGGGAUUAUUGGAUGUACCAUUGUGUCUUCAGUCGGGUCAAGACGAAGAAUUUCGAGCUGUUCGAGAGAGAUCUACCGGUCAGUUUUCGAUGGCUGUUGAACGAAUGCGCGAAUGUCGUCGAAAUGACUGCCGAAGACCUUUACGAGGAGGUUUGCACCGUGGAGUCGUACCACACUCGUUAUUUAAACUCGAAUAGGGAAAAUAGCGAGUACAGAGCAAAGAACUUCAAGCCGAAGGCUUAUCGCAGCAACAUGCAGAGCAAGUGGUAGACUCCGAUGAACUAGGAUAAAUAUGGACUGCGCAGGGAAAAGAAGUGUCUUAGAUAACUUUAUUAUACUGUACAGAGAGGAAGAAACACGCUUAUUUUGUAAGUAUCCAGCCUCGAGGCGUUCUGGGUGUUUGGUAGAAAAUUCUUUUAGUUUUGAAAUUCCUCGAGAAUUUAAUGACGAGUUAUAUUCGCGGUUAUUUUGCCCGGGUAAUAAAUGCACUAAACAUUCUAUCCCACUGUUCGUCGGUUGGAAAAUUAAUUUUCAAGAUGGCGGCGAUACCGGCAGGUAGACGCGCACGCGGUUCUGUACUGGGUUCCGCCGCUAGAUGGCGGGGCGCGCGGCUCGGCGUCGCAACUGUUGCACUCGGGGGCGCGCGCACGAGUCGGCGUCGGGUUCGCCGUCUCCGCUGCGCUCAGUAGUAAACACCAGCCGGGGUUGGACGGAGGCCGGUCCUCUGAACGCACAGUCGGCGAACUCGGCGUACCGGAGUGCGUCUCGGGCGUGUGUGUCGUGCCAGUGAGUGAAGUGCGCGCUCCGUGUGAGGUUCCGUCGUAGGAUACGCGCAUUAGUAGAUUCGGCCGGCCCGUCCCCUGUCGUCGAUCCCGAGGGUCGAGGAGUGCCGCUCGUUCGCAGGAGCACGCGGACCUGCCACGGCCCUGCAGUACUUCAGGAGAGCCCGCGAGACAUCCCGAGGGUAUCGACAGGGAGAUCGAAUCUCCCUACGCCAUUAAUCUCGACCGGAAGUCCCAAGAUUGGGCCAUGACACCCGGAUAAUAAAUCCACGGUCAGUCCAGUGGCCGGAGUAGUGCGGGCAGGGGCGUCAG
rnacentral:misc_RNA from 1 species